rnacentral:sRNA from 1 species
UGUCCUGAAUGGUGGUGCCUCGCUCUUCUCUGCUCUGGCCACGGUGCUGUGUGAAGCCGGGGCACAUGUGUCUCUAUGGCAACGUCCGGCUGGCCUAUGUCUACCUGGACAGUGAGGUAAGAGUCUUGACUUCCCAGGUGGAACCUGGGCCUGCCUGUGGUCAAGAGUUUCCUGAGUCUGAAUUUGAGGGUGGUCCAUGCUGAGGGCUCUGGGGUUGUGAUGAGUAGGGAAUGGAGCCUUCUGUUGCCACAUGGCUGCCUGUGCCUGGGUUCCCCGGUGGCUCCAAAGUUCCAGUCUCUGAGAUCCCUGGGGUUGAUGUAGAAGCCAAGAGCCAGACCUAGAAACAGCGAGGUAGGAACAGAGCAGGGCAGAUCUAAGCAUGGCACCUGAGAGUGUUGAGGGGGUCCCUGAUGUGAUGGGGUGGGGGUGGAUGGCAGUAAGAGGGAGGGGACCCCACCUGCUUUUCCAGAGACUCUUCUGAGGAGGCUGGGGAUUACAGGGGAGGAGAGGUCUGAGAGUUCAUGUGUGUUUUGCGGGGCAGUGGUCACUGAAUGUGGCUGGUGGCUCUAAUGGGUCUUUUUCAGGUCACUGGGCUGGACACACGCCCCUUCCAGCUCACAGUGGAGAAGCUGGAGAUGGCCCUGCGAGAAGCUCACUCCGAGGUCUGGGGAUCAAAUCAAACCCAAGGCUGGGUGUGGGUGGGUCGGAGCAGGGCCUGGACCCUCUUCUUAUGGCUAAUCUCCUCCCGGGAAUAGGGUUGGUACCCGGUGAUGGGGACAGACAGGUAGGGUGGUAGCACAGAAUUAUUCUGGGAGUUAGGCAGAACCCUGCCCAGGGAGGGUCUUCCCUUUCAAAACAGACUCUCAGACCUCAGUUCACAGAGAAUCAACCAGGGAGCGUCACUAAAGAUACCCCCAUCCCUGAUCCAUCUGAUUAUAAUUCAGUGGGUCAAGUGUGGAGUGUAGGAGUCUGUGGUUUAACAAGUCUCCCUGGUAGUUUGAGGGGGCAGUCUUGCUCACUGUGAGGGGACCUGAGGACUCCCAAAGAAGAGCAGAGACCAGUAUUCCAGUGGUUCCUUUCCAGCCUACUUUUCAAAAAUCUACUUAAUUUUUUUUACUUCAGUCAUGAAAGCUAUACAUGCUCACUGUAGGAAUUUUGAAAGUGCAAAAGGCCCACCCAAGAUUCUACCAACAAAGAUAACCUACUGGCAUUUGGGCAUAUUUCUGGGCCUUGUCCUUUGCUUUUAUCUGAUGCUGCAGUUGUAAUUCUGUGUUCCACUUGUUUGCUUCAUGUUGUGUUAUGAACAUGUCCCCCUCAAAUCUCCCUGGGAGCCUUCCAGUGAUCAGCCCCCUUUGACUGUGUGGCUCUGGCCUUGGGGAAGAGCUGAGGGUCUCCUGCCCUAACGGAUGGUUUCAGAGUAUAAAGGUCAAAGGCCUCAUCCUCAUCAACCCCCAGAACCCUCUGGGUGACAUCUACUCCCUGGAAGAGCUGCAGGAGUACCUGGUAUUUGCCAAGAGGUGAGGCACCCCACACUCACCCCAACAGAGCAUCUGGGCAGCCUGGGGUUCCAAUGUGCGUUUGGUGCAGGUGUUUCUACUCUCUUCACCCCACUGUGGGCUGCUACUUGCUUGGGCCCUCCCGUGGCAGUGGAGUGGGGAAGCAGGGAUUUGUGGGAUGCCAUUCCUCUUUCUCUUUGGCUCUUUAUAACAAUAGCUAUCAAUUAUCGUACACUCUAGGGGCCAGGCACCAUGCUUAGCGCUUUAUGUGCCUCAUGCAAUCCUCACAACAACCCUGAUGCUGUUAUCACAUCCAGCUCACUGAGCCUUAGAGUGGUUAAGUGAGGGGUGGAGCCAGACUUGAACCUGCGUCUCUCUGACUCGAGCCCUUGUGCAUGACCCUGCCCCUCCAUGGAGGUGCCCGGGAGCUCCUUUUCUCCCCUACAGUGCUUCAAAAGCUCCUCUGUCACCGGCUCUGUAUGUGUGGCUUUCUGUUUGAAAAAAACAGACGAAAGAAUGGUGUUCUUUGAAAAACAAGUUUGGUAACCCUGGGCUAGACUCCGGCCACUCUGGAUUUCUCAUGUAUUGCCUCCCCACCCUGUGGGACGCAUUUGCCCUACACACUAAGUCUCUCCUCCUCACCCCUGCCUCACUCCAGGCACAGGCUGCAUGUGAUUGUGGAUGAGGUCUACAUGCUGUCCGUGUUUGAGGAGUCUGUUGGGUACCACAGUGUCCUAAGCCUGGAAAGGCUGCCUGACCCCCAGAGGACCCAUGUGAUGUGGGCAACCAGCAAGGACUUCGGGAUGUCUGGGCUCCGCUUUGGCACGCUGUACACAGAAAACCAGGAUGUGGCCACUGCCGUGGCUUCCCUCUGCCGCUACCAUGGCCUCAGUGGCUUGGUCCAGUACCAGAUGGCACAGCUGCUCCGGGACCGUGACUGGAUCAACCAGGUGUACCUGCCGGAAAACCAUGCCCGGCUCAAGGCUGCCCACACCUAUGUCUCAGAAGAGCUCAGGGCGUUGGGGAUCCCCUUCUUGAGUCGUGGGGCUGGCUUCUUCAUCUGGGUUGACUUGAGAAAGUACCUGCCCAAGGGCACCUUUGAGGAGGAAAUGCUGCUCUGGCGCCGCUUUUUGGACAACAAGGUGCUGCUGUCCUUUGGCAAGGCCUUCGAGUGUAAAGAGCCUGGUUGGUUUCGCUUUGUCUUCUCAGACCAGGCCCACCGGCUUUGCCUGGGGAUGCAGAGGGUCCGGCAGGUGCUUGCAGGCAAAUCCCAAGUGGCAGAAGACCCCCGUCCCUCUCAGAGCCAGGAGCCAAGUGACCAACACAGGUGAGCUGGUCAUUGUCUCGUGGCCGGAGGGCCCAGCAGCCACUGUGGACCUGGGGCGUUCUGGGGCUGCAGAAGACUGACUGUGGAUGUGCCAUUUGCCAGGAAGGUAUCUAACUUGGCUUUGUGCCUGAAGAACUGUUUCUUGUCUUUUGCUGUAGCAGUGGGAAACACCUUAAGCUGUGGUUCAGCCUGGGCCCUCCCUCUCUCCUAUUAAACAAAACUAGGAGAGUCCAUAUGUCUCCAUUGUGAGUUAUUUAGAAUGGAGGAGUCGUGACUGCUUCUAACCAGAGCCUCAGCCCCCCUGAGGAUGUGAAAAGAAAACAAACAACUUGUACCUUCUUUCUGAUAUCACCGUCAUUCCUCUUUCUUUGUCACCAAGGAAACGAGUCAAAGGAACAGCACAUACAGGAGAGUUUGCAGAAAAAUAAAAAAAAA